rnacentral:rRNA from 1 species
UACGUAGGGUCCGAGCGUUGUCCGGAAUUAUUGGGCGUAAAGGGCUCGUAGGCGGUCUGUUGCGUCGGGAGUGAAAACUUACAGCUUAACUGUGAGCGUGCUUUCGAUACGGGCAGACUUGAGGCAUUCAGGGGAGAACGGAAUUCCUGGUGUAGCGGUGAAAUGCGCAGAUAUCAGGAAGAACACCAAUGGCGAAAGCAGCUCUCUGGGACGGUACUGACGCUGAGACGCGAAAGCGUGGGGAGCGAACAGG